CUACCUCCACGGACAGUGGUUCUGUCCAUUUCUAUAGCCUCCUUGCCAAUCCCGGGGUUUUAUUUCCUAACAACUAGCAACAGCCAACAAAGGAAGCCAACUUGUCCUCUGCCUCAACAAGAUGUUGACUCCUGGAGAUUGAGAAGCCCCAGUCACCAUGGGCUGGCUAAACUGUGGCAGGCCUGGUAUUCAGUAAUGAAGAAGCAGAGAGGAUUCUACCACAGGAGUCUGUGCUGCUCUGUUUCCGAACGAUUAAAUGAUGGACACAUGACAGGAAUGGAGCAUGCUUGUUCUCAGCACAAAGACACACAUCUUAUCAUCCAACGGAGUGGAAGUACCCAGGAUAAACGAAUUCACGGAAACAACAUCGAACAGUGGUUUCCAGGGGUCUGAGAAGGAAUGAGUCAUGAACAAGU